rnacentral:rRNA from 1 species
CAGUAGCCGCGGGAAAACGGAGGGUGCAAGCGUUAAUCGGAAUUACUGGGCGUAAAGCGUGCGUAGGCGGUUCGUUAAGUCUGUUGUGAAAGCCCCGGGCUCAACCUGGGAAUGGCAAUGGAUACUGGCGAGCUAGAGUGUGUCAGAGGAUGGUGGAAUUCCCGGUGUAGCGGUGAAAUGCGUAGAGAUCGGGAGGAACAUCAGUGGCGAAGGCGGCCAUCUGGGACAACACUGACGCUGAGGCACGAAAGCGUGGGGAGCAAACAGGAUUAGAUACCCCAGUAGUCCCUGUCUCUUAUAC